rnacentral:rRNA from 1 species
CGGGCAGGCGGUCUGACAAGUCUGAUGUGAAAUCUCCGGGCUUAACCGGGAGAGGCCAUUGGAAACUGACAGGCUGGAGGGCAGUAGAGGUAGGCGGAAUUCCGGGUGGAGUGGUGAAAUGCGUAGAGAUCCGGAGGAACACCAGAGGCGAAGGCGGCCUACUGGGCUGCACCUGACGCUGAGCCGCGAAAGCCAGGGGAGCGAACGGGAUUAGAAACCCCGGUAGUCCUGGCCGUAAACGAUGUGUGCUGGAUGGUGGGGGGUAAAACCCACACUGUCGAAGCUAACGCGAUAAGCACACCGCCUGGGGAGUACGGCCGCAAGGCUAAA